GCCUGUGUAGUCAUCUGACAACUUGAGAAGCAGGAACAAAGCACUGGCAAGGCUGACAAAUCCUGCAGAUGCAGCAAGGAAGCAAAGAAAGCACAAAAGAAGUCUAUAAUGAUCGAAAGCCAAAGGGAAAAGGAAAGGAUCGUGGCCAAAUAGUGUCAAAUACCUGCUCCUCCCAAUAAUUUUAGUAGAGGCUCUCUUGCAAGAUCUGUCAUCAAGCAUAGAAGAUAUUGCUACACCACAAAUCCUGAUGUAUUUUCUACCUGCUUUGAAAGACACGGAGAUAUUAAACUGGAUGGACAAACCUGAAUGGCACAAAUACCAGAGGAACAGAUGGCAUGGAAGAUAAGUCCUCCCUGCCUGAACUGGGAAAGGAAAAAGAUACCCGUCUUGAGGAUCAACUCCAAGCAUGAAUUUGGAGUGACAUUCGCCAUUCAAGCAAUGGUUCCAGUGCUCUUCCUCCUUUUAAGGAUGCACUGCUCUCCUUUACUUGUAUACUAAGGCCUGACUCCCUCUCUCUUACUUUGAUAUUACCGCUGGUGACAGAACACAAGCAGUGCUGAAAUAGAGCUUGAUCUUCUAAGAUUUCUGCUCUCUGAGAUAAUCACAGACAAUUCUUGACUUUCAUCUGUGUGCUUAUCAUUUAGAAAUGAGCCAUCGGACCAUGGUAAUCAAAAUAUAGCCUUAUGGAAUUCUGCGUUACUGAGCAAUAUUUGUGUUACCUUAUUGCAAUGGUACGUGUCGGACCAGAUACCUCCACGAGCUUCUCUCUUCUUCAUUAACUGGCAAGAUCUGCUGAUCUCGUGCAACAGGACUCUCCUGCCACCACAUCACCCAGUUCCAGAAGAGGGAUAGGCUGGUCACUAAACAUCCCAUCUUUUGCUACCUUCAGAUGCCCCUUGAGCUCAAGGCAUUGCUGUGGAGGCUCCUUCUAAUAGCAACCACUUAGAAAAUGGAAAUCCGACAAGGAAACUUACCUGUUUUCUCAUAUCCUCUGGCCACAAACAGAAGGAAAAAUAAUCUUAAAGUACUAUCUUCUGAGCACAAUUCAAAUUAAAAAAAAAAUAACUAAGAAAAAAAGAGAUCUCUGCACGUGUCACUGGAAAUAUGAUGUUAUUAGAGAAGCUGACAACCUAUCCACACCAGUGCUCUCCAAUACUGUCCGAGAAGAACAGAGAGGAACAGAAAUAGCAGAGGUCCACAGAAGGGUAAUAAAAAUAACAAAGACAUUUAGCGGCCUUCCACAUGACUGCACUUGUUUCAUUUGGGAAAUCUGAAUUUAAACAGUGAGAUAGUAAAAUUGAUCCUUCCUAGCCUUCAUAUAAAAGCAACAGUGCAACUGAUGAAUUGAGAAGUAAAGCCACUUGCAGCUGAUAACACUUCUUCACGGAGUACACAAUUCACUCCUGAUAUUCUAUGACACCAGUUGAGAAGAAUGAAACAGAGAAAUUUUAAAUACCAGCAUAUUUCCUCACUGUGCUAUUCCAAAUGAAAACUAUUACAAAUGAUAAUCAGAAAGCAAGCAACAAGGCAUCUGGGCUAAGAAAAGUGUCAUCCAAAGACAGAAAAGUGGCAAAAUUACAAAAAGGAAGAAACAGUAAGGAGUACAAUACCACCACAGUCAGUGAAGCUCUCCACUCCAACUGAUGCACUGUUUGCUAAAACACAAAGACAUCCACCUCAGUGAAGAGGGGGCAAGCCCUCUGGAAAGGCUUUCUGAUAGCAGAUACUCUGGUGUUCAAAGCUGAACCUCUUACCUUCUGGCACAACCGGCUCUUGACAGCAGAUUUCCUAACAGAUGCCAAGCUAUUCCUAUCAGUUUAACCCCAACAGGACAUUCCUGUUACCCAUAUUAAUCUUAGUAGAUGAGAUGCUGAAGGUUCAGUAGAAAAUACCAAUUAAGCAUUGGUGAUGGGUGGAUGGUUGGACCAGGUGAUCCUGUGGAUCUUUUCCGACCUUGGUGAUUCUAUGAUUCCAUGAUUCUGUGAUCUUUUCUUUGAAGGACUAAUCUGCUGAAACUAAAGCUUCCUGCAAGAAUUGGGCUAUUUAUAGGUAUAUAAGUCUUGCUCAAAUAAAUAAAUAAAUAAAUAAAUAAAUAAAUAGCGUGAAAACAUUUUCUGAAAAUGCC